GGCAAAGUCAAACGCAAGCGCCUCCCACCCCAGAGACCUUUGGUCGCAGCCUGGAGAUCAGCUCAGACAAGAAAACGACCAGGGAAGGCACACAGGUAAGUGAAGGCCUCCGGGUACCCAAGUGCUGACAGGCCUUAGAAGACCAAGGGACCGACAGGUCCUGCUCCCCCAGAGCUCAGGGGUGCAGACCCCAGGCCCGCCUCCCUCAGACCUAAGUAAGAGUCCAGACUCUAGCUGCCUCCUCCCUCAGACCCGAAGUCUGGGCCCCCAGCCCCUCCUCCCUCAGACCCAGGAGUCCACGUCCCCAGCCCCUCCUCCGCCAGACCCAAGAGUACAGGUGCUUAUUGUCUGAAGGUAUUCAAUCAACUGGGCUCUGAUUACCUGAAACCCAAACCCAUUUUGGCAGUGACUCCAAUUCCCUUCAGCCCCUGGGGCUGAGGGGCAGCUACAGGGGCCUGGGGAGCCACUGCAGUCCUCACUGCAUGAGGCUCAGGCGGGUCCUCCCAGAGGGGAGUAGGAAGAGCAGGUCUGGCUGUGUCCAGCAGGUUGGGCCCUCUCUGGUGACCUUUGACCUCACAAGGCCUCUUUCCCCAGCCCUGUGGGGAGGCGUUGGGGCGUGAGGUUGAGAGAGACAGAGUGGCCUGGCCUGGCCUGCCCUGUGAGCUGGGUGAGUUGGUACUGAUUCUGGAAGAUGGACGUGAAUGGGCGUGGUCACUUGUCGCUAGACUCUGGGAAACGCUGCUGCUGUUUGACAUCGCACAGUCAGAAGGGAUCGUCUCAGCCAGCCUGCAGCAUCUGUCACUUUGACCAUGAGACGCUGCCUCGAUUUCCAAUCCAGGUGCAAAGCUUCAGAUAGGAGUUUGGGAAGCACAGCAAUCCCCAUCUCUAUUUUUUUCAACUUUCAUUCCAAGAAAUAGGACCUUGAGUCCAAUUCCCAGAGCUGACACUUGAGGUCCAACUCUGCCCUCACCUGCACCCGGCCCUGGAGGUCUGGGCCCCUUUAUUCCAGCUCCCGCACAGGCUGAUGCCCCACCGCACCCCAGGGCUCCGCUCCCCAAAUCACAACCUCCCCACCCCCACGCCUCCCUCAUUACAGGGUCCCCCACCAUGUUUCCCUUUUUUUUUUUUUUUUAACCUCCCCACCAAUUACUUGCCCCACCUCAUCCGCGUCUACCUGCUCCCCCUCACCCCAUUAAAGCCUCGUGCUCCUUUCCAAAGGGCGCCAUCCUCCUCCGCGCCCUGCAGCGGAACCCCAGGGCGGGAAGAGCGGCGCCGAGUCGGACCGGCUGCAGGCCAGUGGUCUUCCCGGAAGUGCGCCUCCCCCGGUUAUUUCACAGACCCCGGCGCGGGGCUGCGAACCCACCUGCCCCAGAGCGGCUGCGGCCAUGAUCCGUGCGGCGCGUAACUGUGCCCGCCCGGGGCGCGGCCCCGAAGAGAGACGUUCCGGCCACGCCCCGCUCACGCCUCCUUCUGGGGGAAGGCGGCCGACCAGCGCCCCAGGCCGUCCCAGCUCCAGGGCGUCGGCAGGGAGCCAGACACUGCUGCGGGGCGCAGGCGCUGGUGGGAGGGCAGGACUUGAAAUACGGUCCCUGCCAGGCGAAGUGGCUCAGGUCUGUAAUCUUAGCACUUUGGGAGGCCGAAGCGGGCGGAUUACCUGAGGUCAGGAGUUAGAGACCAGCCUGGUCCAACAUGAUGAAACCCCGUCUCUACUAAAAAUACAAAAAAUUAGCCGGGCGUGGUGGCGGGCGCCUGUAAUCUUAGCUACUCGGAAAGCUGAGGCAGGAGAAUUGCUUGAAUCGGGGAGGCAGAGGUUGCAGUGAGCCGAGAUGAUGCCACUGCACUCCAGCCUGGGCGACAGAGUGAGACUCCGUCUCAAAAAAAAAAAAAAAAAAAAAAAAAAAGGCCUGGCUUGGUGGCUCACACCUGUAAUCCCAGCAUUUUGGGAGGCCGAGGCGGGCGGAUCACCUGAGGUCAAGAGUUCGAGACCAGCCUGACCAACAUGGUGAAACCCCGCCCUACUAAAAAUACAAAAAUUAGCUGGGAGUGGUGGUAGACGCCUGUAGUCCCAGCUACUCGGGAGGCUGAGGUAGAAGAAUUGCUUGAACCCGGGAGGCCGAGGUUGCGGUGAGCCGAGAUGGCGCCAUUGCACUCCAGCCUGAGCAACAAGAGCAGAACUCCGUCUCAAAGAAAAAAAAAAGAAAAGAAAAAAAAGAAAAAAGAAAUACGGUCCCCACCCAGGCUGUGUUCCAGCCACACUCAAGCCAGGUACUAAUGUGCAUGCAACGGUUUUCAAAAAAGCAUUUCCUUGGGAGCAAAAAUGCAUUUUUUGUCGCGGAUCGCUGGCAAGCAUAAGCAGCACGAGGUAAAGAAAGGGAAAGGCAAGGAGCAGGACAUUCCGUGUAUCACGUUCCCUUAGCGACGCGGACACCACGUCAAUGCACAGGAACGGGAAUGGUGCUUUGGAGAAGGGCUUCUGAAGAGGGCCGCAGGUAGGGAUAAAGGGCAGCCUCACUUUGCAGCCUGGAUACUGCCCUGUUCCAGUAUUUUUUCCUAUCAACGAAAAAGAUGUAUGUGUAGCCCAGGCUGGAGGGCAGUGGCGCGAUCUCGGCUCACUGCAACCUCCGCCUCCCGGGUUCAAG
rnacentral:lncRNA from 1 species